UCUUGGUCAUUUAGAGGAAGUAAAAGUCGUAACAAGGUUUCCGUAGGUGAACCUGCGGAAGGAUCAUUACCUAGAGUUGUAGGCUUUGCCUGCUAUCUCUUACCCAUGUCUUUUAAGUACCUUCGUUUCCUCGGCGGGUUCGCCCGCCGAUUGGACAAUUUAAACCAUUUGCAGUUGCAAUCAGCGUCUGAAAAAACUUAAUAGUUACAACUUUCAACAACGGAUCUCUUGGUUCUGGCAUCGAUGAAGAACGCAGCGAAAUGCGAUAAGUAGUGUGAAUUGCAGAAUUCAGUGAAUCAUCGAAUCUUUGAACGCACAUUGCGCCCCUUGGUAUUCCAUGGGGCAUGCCUGUUCGAGCGUCAUUUGUACCUUCAAGCUCUGCUUGGUGUUGGGUGUUUGUCUCGCCUCUGCGUGUAGACUCGCCUCAAAACAAUUGGCAGCCGGCGUAUUGAUUUCGGAGCGCAGUACAUCUCGCGCUUUGCACUCAUAACGACGACGUCCAAAAGUACAUUUUUACACUCUUGACCUCGGAUCAGGUAGGGAUACCCGCUGAACUUAAGCAUAUCAAUAAGCGGAGGAA
rnacentral:rRNA from 1 species